rnacentral:rRNA from 1 species
UAAAAUCUGGUUGGCUUCGGUGAACCGGAUCAAAGGUGGUCUCUUUAUAAAAGCUACCGUUUGGAGAUGAGCUCGCGUACCAAGCUAUUGGUGAGGUAAAGGCUCACCAGGCGACGAUGGUUAGCUGGUCUGAGAGGAUGAUCAGCCACACCGGAACUGGAACACGGUCCGGACUCCUACGGGAGGCAGCAGUGAGGAAUUUUGCGCAAUGGGGGGAAACCCUGAACGCAGCAACGCCGCGUGAGUGAUGAAGGCUUUCGGGUCGUAAGCUCUGUCGGUGAAACCCACCAAGUGUUAAGACCACUUGGUGCUGACGGUACCACCGAAGGAAGCNACCGGCUAACUCCGUGCACGCGCGGUAUACGGGGUGCGAGCGUUAUUCGG